UACGGGGGGAGCAAGCGUUGUUCGGAUUUACUGGGCGUAGAGGGCGCGUAGGCGGCCAGCACAAGUCAGUUGCGAAAUCUCCGAGCUUAACUCGGAAAGGUCAACUGAUACUGUGCGGCUAGAGUGCGGAAGGGGCAACUGGAAUUCUCGGUGUAGCGGUGAAAUGCGCAGAUAUCAGGAGGAACACCGGUGGCGAAGGCGGGUCUCUGGGCCGUAACUGACGCUGAGGAGCGAAAGCGUGGGGAGCGAACAGG
rnacentral:rRNA from 1 species